GUACUUUAAUUGCCGUACCGGUGCAAUCCGAUGAGCGCUGCAUUGUACUUUCUAUGAUUACCUGAUGCACUGGUAAGUUUGUAAACGUUAUUUCAUUAUACUUUCAUAUUUAUCUAAAAUUGCAUGUAACGUGAAUACCGUAACAACACAAAAUUGAUGCGUGCCGUCGGAUGCGACUUGGAUCUACCCGCAGAGUAUGGUCAUGUCAAUCAUCGGUUUACUAACGUGAAAUUUUCCUUGCUUGCAUUUUUAUUUUUAUUUCAUAAAUCUGCCGGCUCUUUAACGUAUUUUCGUAGUUUGGCAAUUAAUUAUUGAGAGUAAUAUAUUUGUAAAAUGUAGCAAUUUUCUUCUUGUAACACCCUAUGUUCUACUUUACCUUGCGUUCUAGUGUAAAACUGACUAAAUUUGUCGUUUCUGGGUCGUUUUCUACUUAAACUUUGUAUUUUAUUUUUAAAUUUAGGAAUUUCCUGUUUGUAUCACCCUGUAUGUUUGUUUUUCUUGAUU